rnacentral:rRNA from 1 species
AGAGUUUGAUCCUGGCUCAGGAUGAACGCUGGCGGCGUGCCUAAUACAUGCAAGUCGAGCGAACAGACGAGGAGCUUGCUCCUUUGACGUUAGCGGCGGACGGGUGAGUAACACGUAGGUAACCUACCUAUAAGACUGGGAUAACUUCGGGAAACCGGAGCUAAUACCGGAUAAUAUUUCGAACCGCAUGGUUCGAUAGUGAAAGAUGGCUUUGCUAUCACUUAUAGAUGGACCUGCGCCGUAUUAGCUAGUUGGUAAGGUAACGGCUUACCAAGGCAACGAUACGUAGCCGACCUGAGAGGGUGAUCGGCCACACUGGAACUGAGACACGGUCCAGACUCCUACGGGAGGCAGCAGUAGGGAAUCUUCCGCAAUGGGCGAAAGCCUGACGGAGCAACGCCGCGUGAGUGAUGAAGGUCUUCGGAUCGUAAAACUCUGUUAUUAGGGAAGAACAAACGUGUAAGUAACUGUGCACGUCUUGACGGUACCUAAUCAGAAAGCCACGGCUAACUACGUGCCAGCAGCCGCGGUAAUACGUAGGUGGCAAGCGUUGUCCGGAUUUAUUGGGCGUAAAGCGAGCGCAGGCGGUUUCUUAAGUCUGAUGUGAAAGCCCCCGGCUCAACCGGGGAGGGUCAUUGGAAACUGGGAGACUUGAGUGCAGAAGAGGAGAGUGGAAUUCCAUGUGUAGCGGUGAAAUGCGUAGAUAUAUGGAGGAACACCGGUGGCGAAAGCGGCUCUCUGGUCUGUAACUGACGCUGAGGCUCGAAAGCGUGGGGAGCAAACAGGAUUAGAUACCCUGGUAGUCCACGCCGUAAACGAUGAGUGCUAAGUGUUAGGGGGUUUCCGCCCCUUAGUGCUGCAGCUAACGCAUUAAGCACUCCGCCUGGGGAGUACGACCGCAAGGUUGAAACU